rnacentral:lncRNA from 1 species
AAGAAGAAAUGGCUUAUACAAAUGAAGAUGUGACCAGGCACGGUGGCUCAUGCCUGUAAUCCUAGCACUUUGGGAGGCUGAGGCUAGCGGAUCACUUGAGCCCAGGAGUUAGAGACCAGCCCAGGAGACUAUUUCUCUAAAUGGCACACCAAGUGUCUAUGGCCAAGGUGAAAUGGUGGUUGAGCGUGUCUGUCAUCUGGGCCGCGCGUACCAGCUGAAGAAAAAGCAAGGAGGACACUUGUCCAGUGAUCCACGGUGCUUGCUGCAGGUCAUUCCCACCUCACCACUUCAGGAGAUCAGAUCCAACUUCUAUGUGCAAAGCCAACAACCGGAGAGUGACAGAGCUAGGACUCAAAACCACAGUGUUUCCGCAUGGAGGAAGAGAAGAAAGGGGAGAAUGGAGGGGAAACAUCUUUUAUACCGGACUCCUUGUUCCACAACCCCCACCAGCAACCCCAACCAGUGUGGCAUUUGUCUUCUGCAGUAA